ensembl:lncRNA
CAUACAUCAUCACCGAAACCCCUCCUCAUACAUGACAUCAUCACCGAAACCCCUCCUCAUACAUUACAUCAUCACCGAAACCCCUCCUCAUACAUUACAUCAUAACCGAAACCCCUCCUCAUACAUGACAUCAUCACCGAAACCCCUCCUCAUACAUUACAUCAUCACCGAAACCCCUCCUCAUACAUUACAUCAUCACCAAAACCCCUCCUCAUACAUGACAUCAUCACCAAACCCCUCCUCAUACAUCAUCACCGAAACCCCUCCUCAUACAUCAUCACCGAAACCCCUCCUCAUACAUCAUCACCGAAACCCCUCCUCAUACAUCAUCACCGAAACCCCUCCUCAUACAUCAUCACCGAAACCCCUCCUCAUACAUCAUCACCGAAACCCCUCCUCAUACAUGACAUCAUCACCGAAACCCCUCCUCAUACAUCAUCACCAAAACCCCUCCUCAUACAUCAUCACCGAAACCCCUCCUCAUACAUGACAUCAUCACCAAAACCCCUCCUCAUACAUGACAUCAUCACCAAAACCCCUCCUCAUACAUGACAUCAUCACCAAAACCCCUCCUCAUACAUGACAUCAUCACCAAAACCCCUCCUCAUACAUCAUAUUUUAAACAGCGUUCAGUGCAUUGUCACAGCGUACAGUAUCUGCUCAAAUUGACAUCAAAUUGGUGUCUUUAAUGAAGCAAAAAAUAUAUUGAUGUGGAAACCAUUUUUAAGUACAGUACCUGGACCAGCGCUGAACUGCAUAUUACAUGCGGUACAGCAAAUAAAACAGAGUUCAGUUCAGCGGUGAUAUAUCUGACUACACAUGUAAUUAAAACCUUACAACCUGAACUGAUCAGAUGUACACAUGGUCUUACAGUCACGUGUGUGUAUCUCCUCUCCCAAUUACACCUCAACCAACAAGCCCGACUCUCUCGCUCGCUCUCGCUCUCUCUCGCUCUCUCUCUCUCCUGCGUCAUGCCACAUUAACCAUGAGCACACACCACACACGUUGUGUGUUACCCCUGCUGCUCUACACACCACACCCGAGUGCACAGUGAGAGUGACUCGUUCACAGCGCCCGAGCGUAAACCUGAAACCUCAUCCCUAAACCUGUCCAUACCAUGAGAUCUGAUCUUAAAUUCCACACGCCUUUUUAUAUCAUCAUUAUUAUAGGAAGCAGGUGUAUUUUACUUGAUCUCUCGUCAGGGAUUAUACCGAGAUCUCUACUUCUGUCUUUCUUUCUUUGCUUACUUAGUAACUUCUUUCUUUCUUUCUUAGUAACUUCUUUCUUUCUUUCUUUCUUUCUUUCUUAGUAACUUCUUUCUUUCGUUCUUAGCAACUUCUUUCUUUCUUUCUUUCUUCUUUCUUAGUAACUUCUUUCUUUCUUUCUUUCUUUCUUUCUUAGCAACUUCUUUCUUUCUUUCUUUCUUUGCUUACUUAGUAACUUCUUUCUUUCUUAGUAACUUCUUCUUUCUUUCUUUCUUUCUUUCUUUCUUUCUUAGCAACUUCUUUCUUUCUUUCUUUCUUUCUUUCUUAGUAACUUCUUUCUUUCGUUCUUAGCAACUUCUUUCUUUCUUUCUUUCUUUCUUUCUUAGUAACUUCUUUCUUUCUUCUUUGCUUACUUAGUAACUUCUUUCUUUCGUUCUUAGUAACUUCUUUCUUUCUUUCUUUCUUAGCAACUUCUUUCUUUCUUUCUUUCUUUGCUUACUUAGUAACUUCUUUCUUUUGUUCUUAGUAACUUCUUUCUUUCUUUCUUUCUUUCUUUCUUUCUUUCUUUCUUUCUUUCUUUAUAACUUCUUUCUUUCUUUCGUUCUUAGUAACUUCUUUCUUUCUUUCUUUCUUAGCAACUUCUUUCUUUCUUUCUUUCUUUCUUUGCUUACUUAGUAAUUUCUUCUUUCUUUCUUUCUUUCUUUCUUUCUUUGCUUACUUAGUAAUUUCUUUCUUUCUUUCUUCUUUCUUUCUUUCUUUCUUUCUUUCUUUCUUUCUUUCUUUCUUUUCGUUUUGAAAUCCUGCUCACACAGUUAUUAUUUUUGUUUGUACCUGCCUGUUACAUUUUCUAACAAAUUUAGUUGGUUCUCAUUCCCAAAAUAUAAGCACCUAGCAGAAUCGUUUAAGCCAUCACGACUAAUGAUGAAUAAAUAAAUGCUGUAAACGCAUGUUAAUCGACACCGGAUC